rnacentral:rRNA from 1 species
UACAGAGGUCCCAAGCGUUGUUCGGAUUCACUGGGCGUAAAGGGUGCGUAGGUGGUGAGAUAAGUCGGAUGUGAAAUCUCCAAGCUCAACUUGGAAACUGCAUUGGAAACUAUCUUGCUAGAGGGUUUGAGGGGGGACUGGAAUACUUGGUGUAGCAGUGAAAUGCGUAGAUAUCAAGUGGAACACCGGUGGUGUAGACGGCUCACUGGACCGUAACUGACGCUGAGACACGAAAGCGUGGGUAGCAAACAGG